UCAAAAAAAAAAUAGGAUCAUGGAACAAAAAUCAAUGAGGGGAAACCUAGCUCUCUUUAUUGUUCUCUUCUUGCUCAUAAGCCCAAGCUCAGCUGGCUCUGAGUUUUGCUACAACCUAUGCUGUCCACUGUGUGGACGACUGCUCCCCAAAUUCCUUUGCAAGCUUACUUGCAAGGGGGCCUGUAAACUGAGUGGUGGAAUUGUUGAUGUAAUUGGUCGUAUAAUUGGUGGUCCGGCUGGCUGCAUAAUAAAGUGUGCUGAAUCGUCGUGCUAUAAUCUCAAGCCUGAAGGGUUAGACAUUCCAGCCUGCAUCAAACAAUGUGACGACAAUUGCCACAAGUCGCGCUAGCAGUCUAGUCUCGACUGCUAAGAUAUAAUAAAUGUUGCUGCCUUAAAUUGGUAUGAAUUUGAAAUAAUAGCAUAACAAGAUCAUGCUAUGGGUGUGAGUUAUACAAAGAUAUCAGAAAUGUAUUGACUGCUCUUUCAGUAUUUUCUAUUUUCAAUAAUAAUCAGUUGGCUUAUGUUCA